rnacentral:misc_RNA from 1 species
GGGAACGUGAGUUGUGGAAUGUUUUGUAGCUGGUUUUUGUAAACUGUAUAGUGAAAAUGCUCAUUAUAACACCAACCAGAGAAGUUUGUAAGUAGGUAUUGUUGAUGCUUAGCUUAGGUAUGGGCGACAAUGACAUGUAUAGUCUCAUGUUGUGGAAAGAGUUUGUUCAGUGUUACUUGUCAUCAAUUGUGUGGGAGCGACUUGGUGGGUUGUGGGAGCCAACCCAAUUAUUCAGAGUUUGUUCAGUGUUAAUUUAGGAAUGUUGCCAUUAAUUAAGCAAUUGGGUUGGCUCUCUGGCGAGUGUGUGUAUAAGCAUGUCAGGUGUACCGUUCGGUUAACAAUUGUCUGAAUGUGUGUUCUUGCAUAGUAAGUCUUACACGUAUAUACAAAUCAAAAGACAAUUAAUUCAUGUAAGUAGGUCAAUAA